UGGGUAGGGGAGCUUCCCAUACGGGUUGAAGCAUGACCGUAAGGACAUGUGGACAGUAUGGGAGUGAGAAUGUUGGCAUGAGUAGCGAGAUGUGGGUGAGAAUCCCACAGGCCGUAAACCCAAGGUUGCCAGGGGAAGGUUCGUCCGCCCUGGGUUAGUCGGGACCUAAGCUGAGGCCGAAAGGCGUAGGUGAUGGACAACAGGUUGAUAUUCCUGUACUACCGAUAACC
rnacentral:rRNA from 1 species